rnacentral:rRNA from 1 species
UACGAAGGGGGCUAGCGUUGUUCGGAAUCACUGGGCGUAAAGCGCACGUAGGCGGAUGUGUCAGUCAGGGGUGAAAUCCUGGAGCUCAACUCCAGAACUGCCUUUGAUACUGGAGAGCUUGAGUCCGGAAGAGGUGAGUGGAACUCCGAGUGUAGAGGUGAAAUUCGUAGAUAUUCGGAAGAACACCAGUGGCGAAGGCGGCUCACUGGUCCGGUACUGACGCUGAGGUGCGAAAGCGUGGGGAGCAAACAGG